AGAGUUUGAUCAUGGCUCAGGACGAACGCUGGCGGCGUGCUUAACACAUGCAAGUCGAACGGGAUCCUCUGGUGCUUGCACCGGGGGUGAGAGUGGCGAACGGGUGAGUAAUGCGUGACGAACCUGCCCCAUACUCCGGAAUAGCUCCUGGAAACGGGUGGUAAUGCCGGAUGCUCCGCCUGGCCGCAUGGCCGGGUGGGAAGGCGUUAGUGGUAUGGGAUGGCGUCGCGUCCUAUCAGCUUGUUGGCGGGGCAACGGCCCACCAAGGCUUUGACGGGUAGCCGGCCUGAGAGGGCGACCGGCCACAUUGGGACUGAGAUACGGCCCAGACUCCUACGGGAGGCAGCAGUGGGGAAUAUUGCGCAAUGGGGGAAACCCUGACGCAGCGACGCCGCGUGCGGGAUGACGGCCUUCGGGUUGUAAACCGCUUUUGAUUGGGAGCAAGCGCAAGUGAGUGUACCUUUCGAAUAAGGACCGGCUAACUACGUGCCAGCAGCCGCGGUAAUACGUAGGGUCCAAGCGUUGUCCGGAAUUAUUGGGCGUAAAGAGCUCGUAGGCGGUUCGUCGCGUCUGGUGUGAAAGUCCAUCGCUUAACGGUGGAUCUGCGCUGGAUACGGGCGGACUGGAGUGCGGUAGGGGAGACUGGAAUUCCCGGUGUAACGGUGGAAUGUGUAGAUAUCGGGAAGAACACCAAUGGCGAAGGCAGGUCUCUGGGCCGUCACUGACGCUGAGGAGCGAAAGCGUGGGGAGCGAACAGGAUUAGAUACCCUGGUAGUCCACGCCGUAAACGGUGGAUGCUGGAUGUGGGGCCCUUUCCACGGGUUCCGUGUCGGAGCUAACGCGUUAAGCAUCCCGCCUGGGG
rnacentral:rRNA from 1 species